AUUGAACGCUGGCGGCAUGCCCUACACAUGCAAGUCGAACGGCAGCGCGGGAGCAAUCCUGGCGGCGAGUGGCGAACGGGUGAGUAAUACAUCGGAACGUGCCCAAUCGUGGGGGAUAACGCAGCGAAAGCUGUGCUAAUACCGCAUACGAUCUACGGAUGAAAGCAGGGGAUCGCAAGACCUUGCGCGAAUGGAGCGGCCGAUGGCAGAUUAGGUAGUUGGUGAGGUAAAGGCUCACCAAGCCUUCGAUCUGUAGCUGGUCUGAGAGGACGACCAGCCACACUGGGACUGAGACACGGCCCAGACUCCUACGGGAGGCAGCAGUGGGGAAUUUUGGACAAUGGGCGAAAGCCUGAUCCAGCCAUGCCGCGUGCAGGAUGAAGGCCUUCGGGUUGUAAACUGCUUUUGUACGGAACGAAACGGUCUUUUCUAAUAAAGAAGGCUAAUGACGGUACCGUAAGAAUAAGCACCGGCUAACUACGUG
rnacentral:rRNA from 1 species